ensembl:lncRNA
UAGAGUAGAGGAUGGUAGAGUAGAGGAUGGUAAAGUAGAUGGUAGAGGAGAGGAUGGUAGAGUAGAGUAGAGGAUGAUAGAGGAGAGGAGAGGAUGGUAAAGUAGAGGAGAGGAUGGUAGAGUAGAGUAGAGGAUGGUAGAGUAGAGGAGAGGAUGGUAAAGGAGAGGAGAGGAUGGUAGAGUACAGGAUGGUAGAGUAGAAGAGAGGAUGGUAAAAUAGAGUAGAGGAUGGUAGAGUAGAGAAGAGGAUGGUAAAGUAGAGGAGAGGAUGGUAGAGUAGAGUAGAGGAUGGUAGAGUAGAGGAGAGGAUGGUAAAGGAGAGGAGAGGAUGGUAGAGUACAGGAUGGUAGAGUAGAAGAGAGGAUAGUAGAGUAGAGGAUGGUAGAGUAGAGAAGAGGAUGGUAAAUGAGAGGAGAGGAUAUAGAGUAGAGGAUGGUAGAGUAGAGUAGAGGAUGGUAAAGUAGAGUAGAGGAUGGUAAAAUAGAGUAGAGGAUGGUAGAGUAGAGAAGAGGAUGGUAAAGGAGAGGAGAGGAUGGUAGUGUAGAGUAGAGGAUGGUAGAGUAGAGGAUGGUAGAGGAGAGUAGAGGAUGGUAGAGUAGAGAAGAGGAUGGUAAAUGAGAGGAGAGGAUUAUAGUGUAGAGGAUGGUAGAGGAGAGGAUGGUAGAGUAGAGGAUGGUAGAGUAGAGGAGAGGAUGGUAGAGUAGAGUAGAGGAUGGUAGAGUAGAGGAUGGUAGAGGAGAGGAGAGGAUGGUAAAGGAGAGGAGAGGAUGGUAGAGUAGAGGAUGGUAGAGGUGAGGAGAGGAUGGUAGAGUAGAGGAGAGGAUGGUAGAGUACAGUAGAGGAUGGUAGAGUAGAGUAGAGGAUGGUAGAGUAGAGGAUGGUAGAGGAGAGGAGAGGAUGGUAGAGUAGAGUAGAGGAUGGUAGAGUAGAGUAAUGGAUGGUAGAGUAGAGGAGAAGAUGGUAGAGUAGAGGAGAGGAUGGUAGAGGAGAGUAGAGGAUGGUAGAGUAGAGUAGAGGAUGGUAGAGUAGAGGAGAAGAUGGUAGAGUAGAGGAAAGGAUGGUAAAGGAGAGGAGAGGAUGGUAG